rnacentral:lncRNA from 1 species
UUUUAGUUAAAUACUUGAAGUAUAGACAUACUUAGAUAGAAUUAAUUAAUUAUAAAUAUAGAUAAAUUUCAACAAAAUUUAUAGAUGCCAUUAAUAUGAUUUGUGUGUGUUGAUCCAACCUGAGGUCUAAUUAAAGCUUUCCAUGUCAGAGUUUACGUUAGAAUUUAGAACACCCUCUAUAUUUUUGCUAUAUUAGACAUACUAAAUUUUAAACCCCAUAAGAGAAUAUGCAUAUACAUAUACAUACCGUAUCGGUUCCAGCAGGGCCUGGUGAAGAAGCGCCGAGGCUGGGAGUAGGGGCCUCAGUUGAUGGAGACGGUGGGCUGGAGGCCGAAGGUGAUAGCGCUGGAGACUUAGCUUUGGUCUUGCUAGGGGCCGGAGCUGGAACCGUGGCAGGAGGAGAAGCCAAAGGAGCUGGUGGUGGGGUAGCUGGAGGAGGAGUAGCAGGAGGGGGAGAAGCAGGUGGUGGGGUAGCCUGAGGUGGAGAAGCCGGUGGGGGAGUUGCGGGAGGUGGGGUAGCUGGGGGAGGAGUAGCCGGUGGAGGAGAAGCUGGUGGUGGGGAGCUAACGGGCGGGGGAGUCGCUGGAGGAGGAGUGGAAACUGGUGGUGGAGAAGCUGUCACUGGAGGUGGUGAUGAUGUAGGAGGAGGAGUGGAAGCUGGUGGCGGAGAAGUAGUUGUGGGUGUUGGAGGUGGUUGGGUAGUAGGCGGAGGUGUGGAAGCGGGUGGGGUCGGCGGCACCGGCGUGGAUGUCGGAGGAUUACUAGGAGUAGGAGGAGCUUGGCCUAAAGCGCCAGCUACAGCAAUGCAAAACAAAGCUGAUAAGAACAAAAACUUGUUAUUAAGCAUCAUGUUGGAAACAAUGGUGACCCUUUAAUCCUGCACACCCUCUCCGCUUAAACUACGCCCAGCCGCGCAAGCAAAAGAGGGAGAAGAAUAGCAA